CCCAACAAACCAGUAUCAUGAUCUCCGCUAUGCCUCCUACUACGCACGCGUAGUCAACGCGUGAUCGACCUCGCCCUCUCCCUCUAGAUCCCAGAGUUUCCCGAGCCUGAUCGUCCUCGGCUCCUCGCCCUCUCCCUCUAGAUGCCAUACUAGGUCUGUUCCUCGCCGGCACCGCCCCAUUCCCGGACACAUGCCCCAUGUCCUCGCCGGCACUGUCGGAUUCCCUAGGGACGGCGAUUCCUCAUCCCCGGCGGCCUCAUGAACGGAGUCGAGAAGGCCGGAAGGGCAUGGAGGCCGUGGGCAGCGAUAUCCACAGGAUGCUCCACAAUCGAGACCCGCACCUUGCGUCAGCGUUGCAUAGUAACAGGUACUCUGUAUUAGUGAUGCAUCGAUCGGGUACCCAGCCUCCCACGUCAUGCUUCAGUCCAACCGAUCUUUGAGGGCGUCUCGCGCUUGCAGUAUUUAAUCACGAUUUGAUUUGAUCGAUCGAUCGGUUUGGCUGGAUUUUGUGGCUGGACAUGAGCUAAUCCAUUAGAUUCUCGUGCCGGUAAACGAAGGAAGCUAGCUCUUAUCUUUGGUUGCUCCCGUCAGAGAAACAAAUAGGGCCGCCAGAGGCCAUUAUCGCUUGAUUUGCAUUUGAUUUGAAGGACCAACCACAGCCGUAGGUGGCCGUGUCAUCCUCAACGGGGUCUGUGGACACUGCGGCGUCUCCGUGGAUUCCAUGGCCACCGCGUCCAUGCGCAUCCUCCAGGGUCGUGGGCGACCAUGAUGUUGCAUCCGCCGCCGACCACGAUGCUGCGAACCUGGUGGCUAUGCUGGAGUAUAGGGAGCACCUGGUGCGGGAGAAGUGGAUCCAGAUCGAGACGGCCUAGAUCAUCCGCGAACGCCUCCGCUGGUGCUACCGCGUCGAGGGCAUGAGACAACCACCACAAGAAGCUGGGGCAAGGACCGCCGCCCGGCCGACCUGCAUGGUUUAGAUAAAUGGUUUCCCUCCUCAUGUUCUAAUUGUUCAGUUUGUAGAGAAGUGCAUCUACUAGCUACUUCUUGGAUGUUGUGGGUAAAAUGAAGUAUUGCAGAAGACAAUUGGUUAUUAGGUGAGCACGCUGUACCUCAACACCUCCAAACCAACGAGCAAACCAGAAGCGUCGCCAGCUCCUACACGAGGACCAUGAAGUCUGCAAGCCCAUCCCAGGUUAUAUUAUCAUUUGGUUCAGUGUUCAUUGUAGUCCGACAGAUAAAUUAAAUUGACUUGGGUAUGGUCAGUUACAAAAGGUGAACAGAUGAGCAUGCCACUUGCAGGUGUGUACAGAUUCUUUAUUGUAGAUGGCAAAGUAAUUUGGCAUGAAUAAUUCAAUGAUGUUUCAAAGUAAUCUGAUGUUCACCGAGUAGACAUAAUUGGUUAGCAUGGUUUCUUUCUUUUUGAUAGUUUCAGAUUAGGAGUAAAUUAGUUCAAAUACAACUCAGGUUCUCCAAUCCUCUACAAAUAGUUUAGCACCAACAAAAUCGGAGAAGCCCACCCUUCAAACUAGCUACAGAUUCCAAUUAAGUUCUAACCACCCAAGUACUUGUGUAAUUUGUAUCAUGAUCACAAACAAAGCGUCAUUGACAUGGGACCUUCCCUUUAUUGUCAGGCUAUAGCUUGAGUGUUAUUAGAAGCUUUGGUGUAUUGCACCAUUUCAAUUUAGUUCAAUAUGACCUGACACUAUAGCAUAUCCUUAUGAUGAGCUACAACAUAUGUGUAAUCAAGGUUAUCGAUAUUAAAAGCAGUUGCUUUUUAACAGACAACAUAAGCCAGAGAUCAUUUUGGAACAUCGCGCGCGAUUUGACCAAUCUGAAUCAUGCCCAUGAUCAGGUGGAACCUCCGGCAUCACCGAAAUCGUUUGCGCCCGGGAGGGGUGAAGAGGCUUGGCGGAGGACGCCUUGACGCUGGCAAAUAAUGAUCAAGGAGUGCAUAAGCUGCCUACGCUGCAGCGGUAAGGAGACGUCGUAGCAACAACACACAGUAGUGCUCACAAGUGAGGGGAUUCCCAUUGGUUUGCAUCUUGCAGCAUUUUUGAGAUUUAUUUAGGGCAAAUUUCCGUUGUAGUGUGGCCUGUUUGAGAGUUUAUAUUGCUACUUUGUCAUGUAGACCCUUUUAUUCACGAUCUGAAUCCGACAGGAAUAGUAGAAUUGAAGGUUUGUGAGGAUGUGUCUAACCUGAUAUCCCACAUGAUUUCUUUGCACCAUAUGCAUUUUCCAAGAGGUGCUGAUCAAUAAGAAUUAUCUAUGGAUUAGCGUGCAUAGUAGUAACUCAUACACGCAAUUCCUAUGGAUUACAGUGGAGUCAAAAGAUGCAUGCAAGAGCAUUAUAUCUGCCCCAUUAUAUUAGAAGAUAAAUAAAUACACUACAAGAAUAUAAAACCUGAUCAUUGCUACAGUUUUCCUUCUGUUUGUUUCAAAUUAUAUUUCUUUUCUUGGGUGCACACACUGCUCAUUAUAUUAAAAAAUAUGUUCGUUUGCAAAAAGAAUCCUAGAACCCAUCAAGAGUCUGUGAGUAAUAUUUAUUGUACUUCUGCAGAAUACUUCUAUUUGAGGUUUGAUGCCCUCAUGGUGCUAUGACUAUAAGAUAUUUGAACAAAAAGAGGAAGGGGAGGGAGGGCGGUGCCGGCGAGCAGGAAAAGCGAUCGACCCUAUGCGAUGGAGGAAGGUAGAGGGCGAAGAAGCGUCACUGUGGGUGGAAGGGUGGUGCACUGCAGAAGUUCUCUCAGGGGAUAGCCUGGGAGGUCUGUCCUCACAAAAGGACACAUGUUUAUUUGUGUUGCUCGUUGGUUCACAACCUGUCAAAUAUGACAUGCAUAUAUAUACUCAGAAACCAUGCCUUUUGUAUGUUCUCAGUUGUUCUUCUGCCCUGAAUAUAUAAAGGUGACCAAGAAGUGCUCUGUUCAAGCUAUGAAUGAGGUUCCAGUGGCCAAUGCCAGAAUUCAAAUUUUGGGAACACCACCACAAGGACUCCUAAUGCUUCAAAAAAAUUAAGCGGCAAGCUCCAGCGGUGAUUAUGGCUGGUGCUAGGCGCGGGGAUGGUAGAGGCCCAGUCGGAGGGAGAAACGGGGUGCUAUAGCUCAACAUGCUCAGCAGGAAGGCAGAGGGAGGGUCCGGGAAAGCUGGAGAGGGCGUAAGAAAGACAACGCGGUCAUUGGUGGCGGCGGCCGGACUGAGGCAUGGUUGUGGUGGUGCUUGAGGGUGGGCGGCUCCUCGGGAAGGAGAUGGUUGAUUAUAACGGAGCGGAAGGGGUACUGCGCCAAGUCAGGGACGGGCUGAAGAAAAACACCAAGGCGCCUAUUAAGAGCAACUUGUCGCAAUUCCUGGUGUAGCUGGUGAUUGAGGGUGUGGUUGAACAUCAGUGGCGUGGGACUCCACCUGGCCCCACCUCCUGUGUUAAAAUGAUGGAUUACAAGACUGAUCUACUCCAUCCGUUCCAGUUCAUAGGGCUUGCGCGUAUCUCUUGGUUGUCAAUUUGGCCAACAUAAUAUCAUUUAUAUAAUAUAAAAAUUAUAUAAUUAAAGUGGAACAUCUAAGCUUUCUAAUGAUAUAUAUUUUGUAAUACAUAUGUUGCAUUAUCAUCGUCAAAUUUACGACCUAGGGACACGCGUAAGCCCUGUGAACUGGGACGGAUGGAGUAAUAUGCUUUGGUUAUUCUUUUUUUGUGGGUUAGUUCAACCCAGAGUUAUGUGAGAUUGAAAGGAAAAGAAAAUUGUGACGGAGAAGAAAUCCGACAUGUAUCAUUUUACGUCCAUAUUUUGGAGCUCGUACAAUGUUGCAUUAUAUCUAAAUCCUUGCAUACGUAUACCA